rnacentral:rRNA from 1 species
CCUACGGGAGACUGCAGUGGGGGAUAUUGCACAAUGGGGGGAACCCUGAUGCAGCGACGCCGCGUGGGUGAAGAAGCGCCUCGGCGCGUAAAGCCCUGUCAGCAGGGAAGAAAAUGACGGUACCUGAAGAAGAAGCCCCGGCUAAAUACGUGCCAGCAGCCGCGGUAAUACGUAGGGGGCAAGCGUUAUCCGGAUUUACUGGGUGUAAAGGGGGCGCAGACGGCGAUGCAAGCCAGGAGGGAAAGCCCGGGGCCCAACCCCGGGACUGCGCUUGAAACUGCGUGGCUGGAGUGCAGGAGGGGCAGGCGGAAUGCCUGGUGUAGCGGUGAAAUGCGUAGAUAUCAGGAGGAACACCGGUGGCGAAGGCGGCCUGCUGGACUGCAACUGACGUUGAGGCCCGAAGGCGUGGGGAGCGAACAGGAUUAGAUACCCCAGUAGUC